UCUGUCAGUGGUUAAAGAUAUAAUAAAUUAGGUUAUUAGUUGAAAAAAUAUCUUCCAGAUUUCAUGGGAGGAGCCUAAAUGUGCCAAGAUGGAAAUUAACAUAAUCUGGAAUAAGCAAAGCAAAGGUAAAAAACCAAUAGGAAUGCAUUUCCUUUACAUAUUUGAUUGGUGGAAAGCAAUCUAAGGGUGGGGUUGGUUUAAACCAAUUACACUUUAAAACAUCCAGCCAAUCACUGCCAUCUCUUCUUUAGAAGGUAAGGAUAACCAAAUGCUCUACCAACCUUACUGGAUUAGUGGAUUUUGAGGUUUCAAACUAUGGGACAUCUCAGUCAUGACAGUGACUCUUUCAUCUGUUUUGUUUUUUUUGGAGUAUUUGCAUAUGUGUACUUCGAUAUACCUUUUAUAGUAAAUGUAAUAUAUAGAUAAAAUAGCUAUUUUUUAAAUUUGUAAUUUGCAGAACUGAUUCAAGGCUCAAUAUUUAACAUUAAAUAUAAUGUAGCUCUUUAUUAUUAUUAUUAUUAUUAUUUAUUGUUUUUGUCAUGUAUUAUAAAAUAGUCUUAGAAUAACCCCUGUAAUCCACCAAAGCUUUGGUUGGUACAAGGUGGCACUGAAGCUCUUCAAGGAAGGAGGAGACAUUACAAGACUCUGCAAAGGGAAGCACAAGAGGCUCCAUGGGACAGUAUGGCUGCCAAGUGAAUACUUGUACCACAGCUUGUGCUACCGCAAUUCAUUCAUCCGACUGCAAGCUUUUUUUGGGCAGGGCUGUCACCAGUGCCUAAUUUUUAAAUGUCUAUUUUUCAACUUGCUCUUGUACUGCAAUACCCAACGAGUUGUCAAAUAACAAUAACAACAAAUAGGGGAUUAAAUAAUGCAACAUUACUGGAGCACAUUUACUCUGAUUUACAAUUGAUUAUUACGUUUAAUCUAUUGGGAUUUGUCCAAUAGAUCAAGUGAGCUCAAUAUGAAAUAUGAGAUCAAUAUGACAUUUUUAAUAAAGACAACUUGUUUUA